UAUUUCACCUGGUCCACUAGCC
rnacentral:miRNA from 15 species